GAUUAACGCUGGCGGCGUGCCUAACACAUGCAAGUCGAACGAGGUAGCAAUACCUAGUGGCAGACGGGUGAGUAACGCGUGGUCAACCUACCUUCGAGCGGGGGAUAACUAGCCGAAAGGCUAGCUAAUACCGCAUAACACCAAAGCCGGCAUCGGCAUUGGUUGAAAGCAGCAAUGCACUCGAGGACGGGACCGCGUUCGAUUAGUUUGUUGGUGAGGUAAUGGCUCACCAAGACUACGAUCGAUAGCUGGUUUGAGAGAACGACCAGCCACACUG
rnacentral:rRNA from 1 species